AGAGUUUGAUCAUGGCUCAGAUUGAACGCUGGCGGAAUGCUUUACACAUGCAAGUCGAACGGUAGAGGGGGCAACCCCUCGAGAGUGGCGAACGGGUGAGUAAUAUAUCGGAACGUGCCCAGUCGUGGGGGAUAACGUAGCGAAAGUUACGCUAAUACCGCAUACGAUCUAUGGAUGAAAGCGGGGGAUCGCAAGACCUCGCGCGAUUGGAGCGGCCGAUAUCAGAUUAGGUAGUUGGUGGGGUAAAGGCUCACCAAGCCAACGAUCUGUAGCUGGUCUGAGAGGACGACCAGCCACACUGGAACUGAGACACGGUCCAGACUCCUACGGGAGGCAGCAGUGGGGAAUUUUGGACAAUGGACGCAAGUCUGAUCCAGCCAUUCCGCGUGCAGGAUGAAGGCCCUCGGGUUGUAAACUGCUUUUGUACGGAACGAAAAGGUUUGUCUUAAUACGAUGAGCUCAUGACGGUACCGUAAGAAUAAGCACCGGCUAACUACGUGCCAGCAGCCGCGGUAAUACGUAGGGUGCAAGCGUUAAUCGGAAUUACUGGGCGUAAAGCGUGCGCAGGCGGUUAUGUAAGACAGAGGUGAAAUCCCCGGGCUCAACCUGGGAACUGCCUUUGUGACUGCAUAGCUAGAGUACGGUAGAGGGGGAUGGAAUUCCGCGUGUAGCAGUGAAAUGCGUAGAUAUGCGGAGGAACACCGAUGGCGAAGGCAAUCCCCUGGACCUGUACUGACGCUCAUGCACGAAAGCGUGGGGAGCGAACAGGAUUAGAUACCCUGGUAGUCCACGCCCUAAACGAUGUCAACUGGUUGUUGGGUCUUCACUGACUCAGUAACGAAGCUAACGCGUGAAGUUGACCGCCUGGGG
rnacentral:rRNA from 1 species